AGUGAACGCUGGCGGUAGGCCUAACACAUGCCAGUCGAACGGCAGCACAGUAAGAGCUUGCUCUUACGGGUGGCGAGUGGCGGACGGGUGAGGAAUACAUCGGAAUCUACUUUUUCGUGGGGGAUAACGUAGGGAAACUUACGCUAAUACCGCAUACGACCUACGGGUGAAAGCAGGGGAUCUUCGGACCUUGCGCGAUUGAAUGAGCCGAUGUCGGAUUAGCUAGUUGGCGGGGUAAAGGCCCACCAAGGCGACGAUCCGUAGCUGGUCUGAGAGGAUGAUCAGCCACACUGGAACUGAGACACGGUCCAGACUCCUACGGGAGGCAGCAGUGGGGAAUAUUGGACAAUGGGCGCAAGCCUGAUCCAGCCAUACCGCGUGGGUGAAGAAGGCCUUCGGGUUGUAAAUCCCUUUUGUUGGGAAAGAAAAGCAGCAGGUUAAUACCCCGCUGUUCUGACGGUACCCAAAGAAUAAGCACCGGCUAACUUCGUG
rnacentral:rRNA from 1 species